UACGAAGGGGGCUAGCGUUGCUCGGAAUCACUGGGCGUAAAGCGCACGUAGGCGGCUCUUUAAGUCGGAGGUGAAAUCCUGGAGCUCAACUCCAGAACUGCCUUCGAUACUGAAGAGCUUGAGUCCGGGAGAGGUGAGUGGAACUGCGAGUGUAGAGGUGAAAUUCGUAGAUAUUCGCAAGAACACCAGUGGCGAAGGCGGCUCACUGGCCCGGUACUGACGCUGAGGUGCGAAAGCGUGGGGAGCAAACAGG
rnacentral:rRNA from 1 species